rnacentral:snRNA from 1 species
CAAACUAACAAAUUCAUAGUGGUCAAUUUGAAACGAUACAGAGAAGAUUAGCAUGGCCCCUGCACUAAGGAUGACACGCUCAAUCAAAGAGAAGCUACCAAUUUUU